rnacentral:rRNA from 1 species
UAAUACGGAGGGCGCAAGCGUUGUUCGGAAUUACUGGGCGUAAAGCGCAUGCAGGUGGCUGAGUAAGUCGAAUGUGAAAGCCCCGGGCUCAACUCGGGAACUGCAUCCGAAACUACUUGGCUAGAGUCCCGGAGGGGAGGGCAGAAUUCCCAAUGUAGGGGUGAAAUCCGUAGAUAUUGGGAGGAAUACCGGUGGCGAAGGCGGCCCUCUGGACGGUGACUGACACUCAGAUGCGAAAGCGUGGGGAGCAAACAGGAUUAGAUACCCUGGUAGUCCACGCCGUAAACGUUGCGAACUAGGUGUCGGGGGUAUUCACCCCUCCGGUGCCGAAGCUAACGUCUUAAGUUCGCCGCCUGGGAAGUACGGCCGCAAGGCUA